rnacentral:piRNA from 1 species
CAGCUCUGGAAGGAAGGACUCUGCCUCAAG